rnacentral:rRNA from 1 species
GACGAACGCUGGCGGCGUGCUUAACACAUGCAAGUCGAACGGAAAGGCCCCUUUUGGGGUACUCGAGUGGCGAACGGGUGAGUAACACGCGAGUAACCUGCCCUUGACUUCGUGAUAACCUCAGGAAACUGGGGCUAAUACCGGAUAGGAAUCCUUGCUGCAUGGUGGGGGGUGGAAAGCUUCUGCGGUUUUGGAUGGACUCGCGGCUUAUCAGCUUGUUGGUGGGGUAGUGGCUUACCAAGGCUUUGACGGGUAGCCGGCCCGAGAGGGCGAACGGCCACAUUGGGACUGAGAUACGGCCCAGACUCCCACGGGAGGCAGGAGGGGGGAAUAAUGCACAAUGGGCGGAAGCCUGAUGCAGCAACGCCGCGUGCGGGAUGACGGCCUUCGGGUUGUAAACCGCUUUCAGCAGGGGAGAAGCUUGUGGUGACGGUACCUGCAGAAGAAGCACCGGCUAACUACGUG